GGUGGUAUAGCUCAGUGGUAGAGCGCAUGCUUAGCAUGCACGAUACCUUGGGUUCAAUCCCCAGUACCUCCA
rfam:Loxodonta africana unplaced genomic scaffold scaffold_0, whole genome shotgun sequence.